GUUGGAACACCGGUUCACGUACGAUCACUGAAGUUAAGCAACGUCGAUCCUGGUCAGUACCUACAUGGGUGACCGUUUGGUUAUACCAGGUGCUGUAA